rnacentral:rRNA from 1 species
CCGGCGCACGGUGAGUAACGCGUAUGCAACUUACCUAUCAGGAGGGGAUAACCCGGCGAAGUCGGACUAAUACCGCAUGAAGCAGGGGCCCCGCAUGGGGAUAUUUGCUAAAGAUUCAUCGCUGAUAGAUAGGCAUGCGUUCCAUUAGGCAGUUGGCGGGGUAACGGCCCACCAAACCGACGAUGGAUAGGGGUUCUGAGAGGAAGGUCCCCCACAUUGGUACUGAGACACGGACCAA